GAGUUUGAACCUGGCUCAGGAUGAACGCUGGCGGCGUGCCUAAUACAUGCAAGUCGAGCGAACCACUUCGGUGGUGAGCGGCGAACGGGUGAGUAACACGUAGGUGAUCUGCCCAUCAGACGGGGACAACGAUUGGAAACGAUCGCUAAUACCGGAUAGGACGAAAGUUUAAAGGUGCUUCUGGCACCGCUGAUGGAUGAGCCUGCGGCGCAUUAGCUAGUUGGUAGGGUAAAGGCCUACCAAGGCGACGAUGCGUAGCCGACCUGAGAGGGUGAACGGCCACACUGGGACUGAGACACGGCCCAGACUCCUACGGGAGGCAGCAGUAGGGAAUCUUCGGCAAUGGGCGAAAGCCUGACCGAGCAACGCCGCGUGAAUGAUGAAGGCCUUCGGGUUGUAAAAUUCUGUUAUAAGGGAAGAACGACUUUAGUAGGAAAUGGCUAGAGUGUGACGGUACCUUAUGAGAAAGCCACGGCUAACUACGUGCCAGCAGCCGCGGUAAUACGUAGGUGGCGAGCGUUAUCCGGAAUUAUUGGGCGUAAAGAGCGCGCAGGUGGCUGAUUAAGUCUGAUGUGAAAGCCCACGGCUUAACCGUGGA
rnacentral:rRNA from 1 species